rnacentral:lncRNA from 1 species
GUUCGUGUUGCCCGUUGAUUUCUCCGGUCUAAAUCUCACAAGGGUUAGAAGGCCCCGUGCCUGAAACCUUCCAGUCAGCGCACCUUCCUUCUUGGUUCUCUUCGGCUGUUGAGUGUUGAAUCUGGUGCGGAGGUCAUCACGUGAGUAACUGACACAAUCUCUCUCUCUCUCUCUGAUUUGGUGGGUUGGUAGCUUGGUAGCGCUACCCCAUUCUCAUGUUCUAGAGUAACACAGUAUCUUGAAGAGACGAUCUCUAUAAAUUAAAGCUUCAAAAAUGACCAAUGCAGCGUGCUGAUCAUUCAGACUGCAAGCAAGAGAGAAAGGGAAGGGAAAACAAGUAGAUCAGUGAUAUUUACUAGAAUGGUGACUUCAGUGGCUCCUAGAGUUGAGAGCUUGUCCAGCAGUGGGAUCCAGUCAAUCCCCAAAGAGUACAUCCGCCCCCAAGAAGAGCUCACCAGCAUUGGCAAUGUCUUUGAGGAGGAGAAGAAGGAUGAAGGGCCUCAGGUUCCAACUAUUGACUUGAAGGAUAUUGAGUCUGAGGACGAGGUGGUCCGGGAGAGAUGCCGGGAGGAGUUGAAGAAAGCUGCCAUGGAGUGGGGUGUGAUGCACCUUGUUAACCAUGGCAUCUCUGAUGACCUUAUCAACCGUGUUAAGGUUGCUGGAGAGACCUUUUUCAAUCUCCCCAUGGAGGAAAAGGAGAAGUAUGCUAAUGACCAGGCCUCCGGCAAGAUCGCUGGCUAUGGCAGCAAGCUUGCCAACAAUGCUAGUGGACAGCUUGAGUGGGAGGACUACUUCUUCCACCUCAUCUUCCCUGAAGACAAGCGCGAUAUGACCAUCUGGCCUAAGACACCAAGCGACUACGUGUAAGUUCAAUUCAUUGUUUAUGUAAUUAUACGAUGUUUGCUGAUCUGUUUUUCCUCUGGCCAAGUAGUUACUAACUGAAUUUUCUAUUAUAAAAAAAAAUCUGCAAAUUUUACUAAUUUUGAAAUUGUUUCUGGGUUCUAAGAAUUACUUGUUCAAACUUGUGAUUGCAGUCCAGCAACCUGUGAGUACUCGGUGAAACUUAGGAGCCUGGCAACCAAGAUACUAUCGGUGCUAUCGCUUGGGUUGGGAUUGGAAGAAGGGAGACUAGAAAAGGAAGUUGGUGGGAUGGAAGAGCUACUACUCCAAAAGAAGAUCAACUACUACCCCAAGUGUCCCCAGCCUGAAUUGGCUCUCGGGGUGGAAGCUCACACUGACGUGAGCGCUCUCACCUUCAUCCUCCACAACAUGGUACCCGGCCUGCAACUUUUCUAUGAGGGCAAGUGGGUGACAGCCAAGUGUGUCCCCAACUCCAUCAUCAUGCACAUUGGAGACACCAUAGAGAUUCUCAGCAAUGGUAAGUACAAGAGUAUUCUUCACAGGGGACUGGUCAACAAGGAGAAGGUGAGGAUUUCAUGGGCAGUUUUCUGCGAGCCGCCUAAGGAGAAGAUCAUCCUGAAGCCACUGCCAGAGACGGUGUCUGAGACUGAGCCACCACUCUUCCCACCUCGCACCUUUUCCCAACAUAUUCAGCACAAGCUCUUCAGGAAGACCCAGGAGGCUCUACUCUCCAAAUGAGCUGUAGCCUUGUUGUAUUUCAUCUGCUAUACUAAGCUCUCUAUUUGGCUGUUUUGUUACAGUUUGGUCUGUGUUUCAAGCUUCCCAAUCUUUGAUCAUGGCAGGUAUAGGCCAUCAUAUAUGUUUGUUUCUCUGCCUGCUUUUAUUUAAUAAAAUUCGAGAUUUCUAUUCUUCUUUUGUGCACAACCAAGUUUUGGAUUUGAAUUACCAAUGUCAUUAUGCAUUAAUUCUCAAGCUACUUGUAUUGAAAAAUAAAGCCAAUAUGGUAAUGGUAUGAGUGGUG